AAGGGCGGUCGGCUAAUCUCCCGGAAGGGAGGUGAUGCCUUGUGACAGUAUUCGAAGCAAUUUCAUUGAUGCUAACUUUCGGCUUGCUAAUUGUAGCCAUGCUGUCAUUUAACGCAAAGAAAUAGACCGCCCCUCACCAAAGGUAUGCGGUCUAUUUCUGCCUACCGAGCCACCGCUUUUUGUGCGGCUAUUGCUACGGAGAGUCGAGGUGCAAC
rnacentral:sRNA from 1 species